GGAGUUGUGAAACUGGAUUCUUUGGAGGAGAUACAAAGCAGACAAAUACACUAAGGAUUAGCAUUCCGAAUGGUUAAUGAGAGAAAAUAUGCCUAUGGGUUCUUGUUGGCUAGUUGAAUGCAGCAGCAUGGAUUCUGCAUAUACUCUCCUGAAGAACCUUCGUGAUUGUCCUGGGUUGUUCUUCCAGAUAGAAUUCAGUCACUCUGGGCAGCAUCAUGUUCAUGUUCCUGUAAAAAAUGAAGGUAGUAUUCAGGAGCUCACAUCACCCAGACUAAAUCCAGAACAAGGUAGCAUGUCUCAUGCUGGAUAUGCAUUUCAGUCUAACUGGCCACAUGUAGCAAGCAGAGGGAUGCCCGAAGUUGGUUCUGGAAAAACCGAGAUGAUGAUUCCAGUCCCAUCCCCGAGAGGUAAUCAUAUAUUUUCUGGUUCUGCUAAUGACAUGUGGAUGCACAGGAAAUCUGAAGCAGAGAUACAUUCUAGACCGGCAAUCGUUGCUUGCAAUCCUACACCUUCUCAAGCACCUCCUAGAGCACUACAGCCUCUUCAAGGACCUCCUACUGUGCCACUGCCUGUUCAAGUACUUCCUGCUGCAGCACCACAGCUAAUUCAAGGACCUCUUAUUGCACCACCACAUCAAGCACAACCUCCGCCCUUUG
rnacentral:misc_RNA from 1 species